rnacentral:sRNA from 1 species
AAUCUAAUCAAAUCCACACACGUGAACCAACCAUGUUGGCCAUCUGGGUUAGCAUCUUCACGGAUGCUUCCUGGAUUGAGAUGGGUGCUAGUCGAAAGACCUGUGCCUGUCUCAGUCGCUACUCCAUGACAGAUGGCUGUGGCGUCGGUCUUUUAUCUAACCAACCAACACCAAACCUAAUUUAUAAAAUAAAAUCGAGGGAUCAGCUUAGAGCUGGCUCUCAUUAACCAAGACAACUCUCAACAACGGAUAUCUUGGCUCUCAGAUCGAUGAAGAACGCAGCGAAAUGCGAUACGUAGUGUGAAUUGCAGAAAUACGUGAAUCAUCGAAUCUUUGAACGCAAAUUGCGCUCGAGGCUUCGGCCAAGAGCAUGUCUGCCUCAGCGUCGGGUUAAUACUCACAUGCCCAUUCCCAGGAAUGCGUGUGUGGAUCUGGCUGUCUCGGUUUUGUCCCUUUCUCUAACGAGAGGGUGUAUUUUAACCGGGUCGGCUGAAGUGCGGAUGUCAAAGCAUGGACCGUUAAUCGGGCCUCUACUGGGUAGGCAACUCGUUUGCUGUAUUGCUUUAGUAGAUGGCUUGGGUACUGUCUUUGGCACAAAGCAGGAGUAUCUGAUUUUCGGAUACAGCCAAUUCCAUUUUCGACCUGAGCUCAGGCAAGA